rnacentral:rRNA from 1 species
GAUGAACGCUGGCGGCGUGCCUAAUACAUGCAAGUCGAGCGAACAGACGAGGAGCUUGCUCCUCUGACGUUAGCGGCGGACGGGUGAGUAACACGUGGAUAACCUACCUAUAAGACUGGGAUAACUUCGGGAAACCGGAGCUAAUACCGGAUAAUAUAUUGAACCGCAUGGUUCAAUAGUGAAAGACGGUUUUGCUGUCACUUAUAGAUGGAUCCGCGCCGCAUUAGCUAGUUGGUAAGGUAACGGCUUACCAAGGCGACGAUGCGUAGCCGACCUGAGAGGGUGAUCGGCCACACUGGAACUGAGACGCGGUCCAGACUCCUACGGGAGGCAGCAGUAGGGAAUCUUCCGCAAUGGGCGAAAGCCUGACGGAGCAACGCCGCGUGAGUGAUGAAGGUCUUCGGAUCGUAAAACUCUGUUAUUAGGGAAGAACAAAUGUGUAAGUAACUAUGCACGUCUUGACGGUACCUAAUCAGAAAGCCACGGCUAACUACGUG